ensembl:snRNA U5 U5 spliceosomal RNA
CUGGUUUCUCUUCAGAUUGUAUAAAUCUUUUGCCUUUUACUAAAGAUUUCUGUGGACAGGAGCUACCCUUUAUUGAAUUUUUUGAGGACUUGCUCUUCUAAGGAGUAAA